rnacentral:rRNA from 1 species
UGGGGAAUAUUGGACAAUGGAGGGAACUCUGAUCCAGCAAUUCUGUGUGUGUGAAGAAGGUUUUAGGACUGUAAAACACUUUUAGUAGGGAAGAAAAAAAUGACGGUACCUACAGAAGAAGCAACGGCUAAAUACGUGCCAGCAGCCGCGGUAAUACGUAUGUUGCGAGCGUUAUCCGGAAUUAUUGGGCUUAAAGGGCAUCUAGGCGGUAAGACAAGUUGAAGGUGAAAACCUGUGGCUCAACCAUAGGCUUGCCUACAAAACUGUUGAACUAGAGUACUGGAAAGGUGGGUGGAACUACACGAGUAGAGGUGAAAUUCGUAGAUAUGUGUAGGAAUGCCGAUGAUGAAGAUAACUCACUGGACAGAAACUGACGCUGAAGUGCGAAAGCUAGGGGAGCAAAUAGG